rnacentral:lncRNA from 1 species
AUUUUGAUAUUAAAACAGUCCAUUUAAAAUUUGGUGAUUAACUUGUUUCUUCAUAUGCCUCCUUUAAAUAGAGAAGGGUGAUACCGUUUAUGAUAACACAAAUGUGGAUAUAUUGUCCUGUUUACUUACUAUAACAAUUACGGUACUACUAUUAUAAAUGAAUGGAUUGUAUGUAUUUUACAAAACAUCUAAUAACAGAGGCUGGUCAAAUGUAUGGCAUUGCUAAUAUAUUCUUAAUAAAAACAGAAUAACAUUAAGUAUUCAAUAGAAGUAAAAGACAACUAUUAACAAGAGUGAUUUGCAGAUUUAAAUAAGUCCUGAAAAGUUUUUUGUUAUAGAAUGAACAGACUUUAUAAAAUUUGAAAAGUUUUUUCCAGUUUUGCCGUUUAAUUUUGAAUAUGUUUUGCGCAAAUGUAGUUAUUAGACAAUCGUUUACCUGUAGAUGUUACACUUUGUAACAAAUACAGCUGUGUCACAAACCACGCCUCGUGUGGGGAGAUAAAAUACCAUGUAUAGUUUCCAGAAAUAAUUUUUUUUUAUUAAAGGAGUGCAAACUAUACUGAAUAUAAAAAAAGAGAACAUGUACAAUUUCAUAAAAUUUCAUUUCUUUUCUGAGAAUUGAAUAAAAGAACCUCACAUAUAAAGUUUAAUAAAUGUUCAUGAAGCUCGAGAAAAAUCCUGGGCUUUAAAUAUAAUGACUCAUAAAAAAAUCACUGUUUACAAUAUAUGCAUAGUUUACCUAAAGCCAUGUACGUACAGAAAC